CCUACGGGCGGCAGCAGUGGGGAAUAUUGGACAAUGGGCGAAAGCCUGAUCCAGCCAUGCCGCGUGUGUGAAGAAGGCCUUCGGGUUGUAAAGCACUUUCAGUGGGGAAGAAAGCCUUGGGGCUAAUACCCUCGAGGAAGGACAUCACCCACAGAAGAAGCACCGGCUAACUCCGUGCACAGCAGCCGCGGUAAUACGGAGGGUGCGAGCGUUAAUCGGAAUUACUGGGCGUAAAGCGCGCGUAGGCGGUCUGAUAAGCCGGUUGUGAAAGCCCCGGGCUCAACCUGGGAACGGCAUCCGGAACUGUCAGGCUAGAGUGCAGGAGAGGAAGGUAGAAUUCCCGGUGUAGCGGUGAAAUGCGUAGAGAUCGGGAGGAAUACCAGUGGCGAAGGCGGCCUUCUGGACUGACACUGACGCUGAGGUGCGAAAGCGUGGGUAGCAAACAGGAUUAGAUACCCCAGUAGUC
rnacentral:rRNA from 1 species